AACUAUCUUACAUUUUCUGGAACAAUCUUUGAGUAUGAAUACAUUUACUGGAUUAGGAACUAUUUUUUGUUUAUAAAUACUGUGAUAGUCAAGUCUAGCUAAGCUCAGUCACACAGAGAACCUGAGGAACCUGACCGUGUGUGAUCUGGUAAUUUUGUAACAAAGACAAAGCUAAUCAUACACAUUUUAACUUUUAGAUCAGGAAAAAGAUAAAGAACAAAUUUAUUCAUCAGACUUCAACAAGACUUAAAGAUGACUACUUCACAAAAGCAUCAGAUGUUUGUUUCCUCUCCAAUGGACAUCCAGAAUGUUAUUAAUGUCCCAGGCAUUGGUGCUGUUUCUGCUAAAAGUUUAGGACUAAAUGGUAUUUCACAGGCCAGUCAACUGUAUGUAAUGUAUGUUCAGGAUCAAAGAAACCAACAACAAUUUGUUAACGAUCUUCAACAAUUGACUGGAGUAAAACCAUACUUUCUGAACCAGGCAUACAGUGCUUUGAAUGAAUGGGACAUACAGUAUGACAGAUAAACAUUUUUAAAUUAAUACCAACUAUUGAUAUAUCAACUUAAGGAGAUGCAUGCCGAACUGGUUACCUUUAUUCCUUGAUUCAACAAUGAAGCUUACUUUGACAAUUUCUUGAACCUUUUGGACAUACAGAAUCUAAAGCUAAUUAGUUGAUUUCAUGAAACCAAAAGAACCAUAAACAAUUUGAUUCAAUUUUAGUCAAACCAGACUUAAUUUACCAGAACUUUGAAUUUCAAUGAACAAUCUAGGCUGAUGUGUAGCCACUCAUGAGGUUUGCCAAGCUUUUUAAAUAAUUAAAAUUGAACUGUUUAGAGUGGGGAAAUAUCGCAAUACACGAGUUAUAAUGGUGGAAUCUGUUUCUCUGAUGAUUUAAGACGAUAUCUAAUCAAAGUUUAUCCUACCUUUUCAAAGAUGUGCAGAAUGGUGUUCUUUAUAUGUGAUGUCAUCAGACAUGGUCGCCUUUUUUCACGACGUCACAAUAGGAAAUUCAGAAGAAACCAAGAAAAUUUGAUGUCAUAAUUGAGUUUCCACCAAUCACUUGCAGAGCACAAAGUUUUCUCCAGAGAUUUAUCGAGAAAUGUGAAAAAGCAUGAAAAUAAGAGAAAAGUCAUUUACUGAGUCUCUUUAUUUCACUUGUUACAAAUCAUUAGAAACUCUUAGAAAAAGUCAAUUAUUGUCAACUUAAGCCUUGGCUUAAAUUUUAUCAGUUUUAAGUUUAAAGUCAGUUUAUAAUAUGUUGGUUCCAUUUCUAAAUAUCUAGUAUUCUACAAUGUAUUAGCUGAGGAACCACAGCUCUUCAAGAUAUCAUGAGGACCUAAGAGCUAGUCGGUUCGAUUCGGGAGCAAGUAAGGUAUAUGUUGGAUGCAUUAUAUGAAUUAAGUUGGUAUAUCAAAGUUUAAUAAACAUUAAUUUUUCA